rnacentral:tRNA from 1 species
CCGUUCUUAGUUUAUAUGAAUAAUAGUUUGUCGUACUAAAGGAGGUCAUGUUUAUGGCUAGAUCGGG